rnacentral:rRNA from 1 species
GAACACACACGCUGCGACCCGAAAGAUGGUGAACUAUGCCCGAGUAGGGUGAAGUCAGGGGAAACCCUGAUGGAGGCUCGAAGCGGUUCUAACGUGCAAAUUGAUCGUCAAACUUGGGGUAUAGGGGCGAAAGACUAAUCGAACCAUCUAGUAGCUGGUUCCUCCCGAAAUUUCCCUUAGGAUAGCACCGACAAAUACGUAGUUGCAUCUGGUAAAGCGAAUGAUUAAAGAAUUCGGGGGCGCAAUGCCCUUGGUCUGUUCUCAAACUUUGAAUGGGUGCGACGCGCACGGCCGCUUAAUUGGGCCUGCGCCAUUUAGAAUACUUGUCGUUAGCGGGCUUUUCCUGGUAAGCAGGACUGGCGAUGCGGGAUGAACCGAUCAUGUCGUUAAAGCGUCCAACUCUCCGCUCAUCAGACCCCAUAAACGGCGUGGGUGAAUUUAGACAGUAGGACCGUGGCCAUGGAAGUCGGCACCGGCUAAGUAGUGUGUAACAACUAACCUACCGAAUUCACCUGCCCGGAAAAAGGAUGACGCUCAAGCGGGG